UACGUAGGGGGCAAGCGUUGUCCGGAAUCAUUGGGCGUAAAGAGCGUGUAGGCGGCCCGGUAAGUCCGCUGUGAAAGUCCAGGGCUCAACCCUGGGAUGCCGGUGGAUACUGUCGGGCUCGAGUCCGGAAGAGGAGUGUGGAAUUCCCGGUGUAGUGGUGAAAUGCGUAGAUAUCGGGAGGAACACCAGUGGCGAAGGCGACUUCCUGGCCUGUUCUUGACGCUGAGGCGCGAAAGCUAGGGGAGCAAACGGG
rnacentral:rRNA from 1 species